AUCGCUUCCCGGCCUUUUGGCUAAGAUCAAGUGUAGUAUCUGUUCUUAUCAGUUUAAUAAGUCACCCAAAACAAAAACAAACAACCAAAAAACACAGAGAGUAAAAAAAAAACCCUCUGCCUUUGAUGUGCCCAGGAGACAUCAGUACCCUAAAAGGACAAUACAGUUGGCUCUUGUUCUUUGCAGUAGUUACAUUCU